AGGUUUAGCUCAUGAAACUUCAUUUGUAAAGGAUACUUCCCGUUGAGGAAUGUCACCAAAGAUGCAAAUCCUAUGGGUGCACCAAAUUCGUCUUAUGCUGCAGUGCCAACUGUAACCACAGCCAUUUCGGUAGUUGUAUACUCUACUUAGCCUACCAACAGACAAAGACAUGUACCUCAACACAAUUUAUAUUGGACUGCCAACUCUUUGCCGUCUGCUGCCUAUUUGCUGGCCCUACAGUAUUUCUAGCCAUUGGACAACAGAAAACAAAGCCUUCUUCCUCUUCUCCACGCCCGUCUUCACCUCGCCCGUCGCCUCGCCAGUCGCCGCGUCUUCGCCUCGCC